AGAAUCAACGCUGGCGGCGUGCCUAACACAUGCAAGUCGAACGAGAAAGUGGAGCAAUCCAUGAGUAAAGUGGCGCACGGGUGAGUAACACGUGACUAACCUACCCUUGAGUGGGGGAUAACCUAGAGAAAUCUGGGCUAAUACCGCAUAAUACCUUCGGGUCAAAGGAGCAAUUCGCUUAAGGAGGGGGUCGCGGCCGAUUAGUUAGUUGGCGGGGUAAUGGCCCACCAAGACUGUGAUCGGUAUCCGGCCUGAGAGGGCGCACGGACACACUGGAACUGAAACACGGUCCAGACUCCUACGGGAGGCAGCAGUGGGGAAUUUUGCGCAAUGGGGGAAACCCUGACGCAGCAACGCCGCGUGGAGGAUGAAGUCCCUUGGGACGUAAACUCCUUUCGAUCGGGACGAUUAUGACGGUACCGAGAGAAGAAGCCCCGGCUAACUUCGCGCCAGCAGCCGC
rnacentral:rRNA from 1 species